rnacentral:rRNA from 3 species
GAACGGGUGAGUAACACGUGGGCAAUCUGCCCUUCACUCUGGGACAAGCCCUGGAAACGGGGUCUAAUACCGGAUAUCACUCCUGCAGGCAUCUGCGGGGGUCGAAAGCUCCGGCGGUGAAGGAUGAGCCCGCGGCCUAUCAGCUUGUUGGUGAGGUAGUGGCUCACCAAGGCGACGACGGGUAGCCGGCCUGAGAGGGCGACCGGCCACACUGGGACUGAGACACGGCCCAGACUCCUACGGGAGGCAGCAGUGGGGAAUAUUGCACAAUGGGCGAAAGCCUGAUGCAGCGACGCCGCGUGAGGGAUGACGGCCUUCGGGUUGUAAACCUCUUUCAGCAGGGAAGAAGCGAAAGUGACGGUACCUGCAGAAGAAGCGCCGGCUAACUACGUGCCAGCAGCCGCGGUAAUACGUAGGGCGCAAGCGUUGUCCGGAAUUAUUGGGCGUAAAGAGCUCGUAGGCGGCUUGUCACGUCGGGUGUGAAAGCCCGGGGCUUAACCCCGGGUCUGCAUUCGAUACGGGCAGGCUAGAGUGUGGUAGGGGAGAUCGGAAUUCCUGGUGUAGCGGUGAAAUGCGCAGAUAUCAGGAGGAACACCGGUGGCGAAGGCGGAUCUCUGGGCCAUUACUGACGCUGAGGAGCGAAA